rnacentral:rRNA from 1 species
UACGAAGGGUGCAAGCGUUAAUCGGAAUUACUGGGCGUAAAGAGCUCGUAGGUGGUUUGUCGCGUUGUCCGUGAAAACUCACAACUCAAUUGUGGGCGUGCGGGCGAUACGGGCAGACUGGAGUACUGCAGGGGAGACUGGAAUUCCUGGUGUAGCGGUGAAAUGCGCAGAUAUCAGGAGGAACACCGGUGGCGAAGGCGGGUCUCUGGGCCGAAACUGACGCUGAGGAGCGAAAGCGUGGGGAGCAAACAGG